AGGCGGCCUUCCACAAGCCCACACCUGCAGCUCAUUGAAUCCUCCUGGAGUACAAAGGGCUGAUUUACAGCACGAAGGAUCCAGGCACUGGUUGCAGCUGGGGCUCCAGCAGGAAAAGGAAGUUGUUCAUCAUCUUGUGUGCAUUUCAUUAACAAUAGUGUACCCGAAAUGUAGCUUAUAGAAUAAUUUCAAAUCACUGACAGAGAGCAUUAUGGCAUUUGGCACCACUAGGAAAAAUACUUCGGGAUGGGCAAAUUACACCUGAGCGUGAGGUUUCUAUGCGACCCUCUGGAACUGUGCACUCUGAUUUAUACCAGCAACCAAGAGCUUAGAGGAAGCUGCGCUAAGCAUGGUGAUGGAAACCAACCACCUGAGGAAAUGUAGCUGGUGAGCUGGGAGCACCACAGCAACGUAGUGUGGCAAAUAGCUGUGCAUCUGUAUCACUGUUGACUUAUUUUUACGCAAGAAAAGCCCACAUGGUUGGAAUGGUGUGAGGGCGAUGAUGAUGAGUGUGGAUGAGGAAAGAGACAGCAAGUGACAGAAAGGAAGAAGACAACUGUCCUCUGGCUAAGGUUCCCACAGACCUCAGGCAGCCUCUGGGCCUGCCUCCUCUGGGGCCAGCGUGGCCUCGAGGUCGAACAUCUCACCUAUUUACCAAGAAGGCUCCAGGUGCUCUGCCUUUCCAGAUCUUUCCUGGGAGUAUCCUGCAGAUCCCACUUGAAAGAUUUUUCUAAGGAAAUGGAAAGCCUUAGAACCUCAAAACAAAAAUGCUUCAAGAGCUACGGCUCUCUGUGGGUUUGUUUGGGGCCAAGCCUCACGUAGGAAGGACAGUGGUGAUGUGCAGAAGGAAAAUGCAAAGACUUCUGAUUAGUUUAUCAAGGACAUUUUAACUUCGACUGCUUUAUAAAGAAGGACAGAAUCAAUAAAAAUUGCCAUCCUCCAGGGAAAGGGAGCAGGGAAGAAAAGCAAAUUUCUUUUCACUUUGUAAUGGUAAACAAACCCGCUCAGAACAGUAUCUGAUGUGGCUGCAUGGAGCCUGGUUUCCAGUUUCUCUUGAUGUGUCAAAUGUAUCCCUUAUGUGAAUCAUGGUUUAAAAAUACUUCUACUCAGUGGGUUCGGGAAAUCAAUAAGCUUUUAUGAUUCUUUCCUUGCUUCACAUAAUUUCUGAUUUCAAAAGAGACUCUGGGUAUUCCUUUAAGAUGUUUGUAUCUUAUGCAUUUUAAAAACAGUUCUUCCAAGGGCUUCCCAAGCAUUGUUGUUAGAGUGGCUGUUUUUCUUCCCAAGCUUUUGCUUUCUUUCUUUCUUUUUUUUUUUUUUCUAACAUAAUGCUAAUGAUUACGGGGCUUACACAUAAAUUGAAGCCGGAUUUAUAAAAUGCAAUAUAAAAAUCCUUGGGAAGGAAGAUAAAUAUAACAAGCUAUGAAACUACGUUAGCCUCUUCCAGCUUUGGAAUGACUACAAAAGAGGAAAUUAAUGACCAGGAUGUGUGAUGUUGCCCAGGUUAGGGGCUUUGGCUCCCAGGCAAGCUGCCUUAAGACGAGCUGUCCUGCAUUCCUUGAUUUCUCUGAAAUACAAAUCUAAUUGCAGAUUGGAACAUAUCCAUUCGCUUAGUCUGUAAAAAUAAUUUUCCCUGAAUAUUUACCCAAAGCGCAUUAUUGCUUAUACAGUUGUGAAAAGCAUUUAGCACUUUAUAAUCCCAUAUUUGCUCCUAUGUGGGCCUGGGAGUG
rnacentral:lncRNA from 1 species